rnacentral:rRNA from 1 species
CACAUAGGAGGCAAACGUUAUCCGGAUUUACUGGGCGUAAAGCGCGUGUAGGUGGUUCUGUAAGUAGGGCGUGAAAGCUCCCGGCUCAACUGGGAGAGGCCGUUCUAAACUGCAGAGCUAGAGGAUGGUAGAGGGAGGUGGAAUUCCGGGUGUAGCGGUGGAAUGCGCAGAUAUCCGGAGGAACACCAGUGGCGAAGGCGACCUCCUGGGCCACUCCUGACACUCAGACGCGAAAGCUAGGGUAGCAAACGGGAUUAGAUACCCCGUAGUCCCUGAG